rnacentral:lncRNA from 1 species
GGGAAAAAAAACGACUGAAAUAACGAACACAAAGUUCAACAAAAAAGAAACUCGAGGUUCCUAGUCUGAAGAGUAACAUCUCAGCUCAAGCAACAGAGACAUUGCUCAUGGCAGUGGUGAUAGUAGUGUCAGUGUUGGAGGAGAUGGUGCAGCUGAGUAAAUCAGUCCAAGUUAUGAAUAAUCAGUAUGAAAUUGAUGCACAUACCUCUGGUGAUCAGAACCAACUGAAAUUGAGGAUAAUGGAGAGUCUUCCUGGAGAAAAGACAGGGACAAAAACACCGAGUAAUAACAUCUCAUGUAUAAUUUGUUGAAAAAAAGAAUUCCUCAGCUAAUUUAUCUACUACAUUUUUUUCCCUCUAAGAAGCAGCUUUAUCUUCAUCAAUCUUUCUUGGUCAUUGACCAAAUGAAGAGAGACCUGAGUGAGUUUUGGUGGCAGGAGAGAGAAAAUGGAGGCUGCAGUUUCUGCUGCUGUUUGGUGACAUGUGGCAGUGAGAAGGAGUGGCCCACUAGAGGAGACCAGCUGGAGCAGCCACAGGCAUCACAGUUUGGUUUGCCUGUCUUGUUUGUUAUUCAUAGCUUUUGCAGGCUAUUGUUUUGAAACCUUAUAAGACCCUGCAGGAGUGACUAUCAGACCCAAGUCCACUUGAAAGUUUCUUUUUAUGUCUGGUUUGAAAAACUGACACAGCGAGCUCUUGCUUUUUAUCCACUUCAACCUCACACUCACACCUGUAAGAUCUGAGAAAUCGACUGUCAUCAGUCCUUCUAUUUUUCUUUAGGUCAUUUGUCUUGCCCAAACAGUCUGACAAGACAAGGAGUAGUUUGGCCCUAGUUUAGGUGGAAGGGGAUUAAAAAAGCAAGGUGAGGAAAGG